GACGAACGCUGGCGGCGUGCCUAAUACAUGCAAGUCGAACGCAGUGGGGUCGGGUGAGUAACACGUGGGUAACCUCCCAUCAGAGGGGAUAACACUUGGAAACAGGUGCUAAACCGAUAUUGAUGUAUGGACCCGUGUUGCAUUAGCUAGUUGGUGAGGUAACGGCUCACCAAGGCCACGAUGCAUAGCCGACCUGAGAGGGGGAUCAGGCACACUAGGACUGAGACACGGCCCAGACUCAUACGGGAGGCAGCAGUGGGGAAUCUUCGGCAAUGGACGAAAGGCUGACCGAGAAACGCCGCGUGAGUGAAGAAGGUUUUCGGAUCGUAAAACUCUGUUGUUAGAGAAGCGGUAUCUAACCAGAAAGCAACGGCUAACUACGUGCCAGCAGCCGCGGUAAUAC
rnacentral:rRNA from 1 species